CCAGCCCGCUACAGAAACUUAAAGGAAUUGACGGGGCCCGCACAAGCGGUGGAGUAUGUGGUUUAAUUCGAUGCAACGCGAAGAACCUUACCUGGUCUUGACAUCCCGGAGACCCUUAGGAAACUAGGGGGUGCUUCCAUCUGGAAGAAUCUGGAGACAGGUGCUGCAUGGCUGUCGUCAGCUCGUGUCGUGAGAUGUUGGGUUAAGUCCCGCAACGAGCGCAACCCUUGCCUUUAGUUGCCAGCAGUUCGGCUGGGCACUCUAAAGGGACUGCCGGUGUUAAACCGGAGGAAGGUGGGGAUGACGUCAAGUCCUCAUGGCCUUUAUGACCAGGGCUACACACGUACUACAAUGGCCGAUACAAAGGGCAGCGACACUGCGAGGUGAAGCCAAUCCCGUAAAAUCGGUCUCAGUCCGGAUUGGAGUCUGCAACUCGACUCCAUGAAGUUGGAAUCGCUAGUAAUCGUGGAUCAGCCAAGCCGCGGUGAAUACGUUCCCGGGCCUU
rnacentral:rRNA from 1 species